AUGGGCGCAGUCGGAGCAGAGAGUCGGGGCGUAGGAGAUGAGGAGAACGGCGUAGGCUUCAUGAUGGAAGGAGAUACGGCGGCGGACAAGGAGGAGGUCGGGGGUUACACGGAGGUACAGGUGGAUGUCAGCAACCUGCCCCCUACGACAUCGAUGAUUGGCAUACUUGCUGAGAAGGUUACAACUGUAGGUAAGGCAUCAAACUAUAUGUCUCAAAUUAAGGUGAUCAACAUUCGAUCAGUUAGGCCACUGGAUAGAGCUGCGAUAAAAGCAUAUGUUACGAAAAUAAAUAGGUACAUUCUGAAGGAGAAGAUUGCUGGUUGA
rnacentral:rRNA from 1 species